rnacentral:rRNA from 1 species
GUGAGGAAUUUUCCGCAAUGGGCGAAAGCCUGACGGAGCAAUGCCGCGUGAAGGAUGAAGGCCUAUGGGUUGUAAACUUCUUUUCUCAGAAAAGAAUUAUGACGGAAUCUGAGGAAUAAGCAUCGGCUAACUCUGUGCCAGCAGCCGCGGUAAGACAGAGGAUGCAAGCGUUAUCCGGAAUGAUUGGGCGUAAAGCGUCUGUAGGUUGUUUAAAAAGUAUUCUGUCAAAGAUUAGGGCUUAACCCUAGAUAGGCAGAAUAAACUUUUAAGCUAGAGUUUGGUAGAGGCAGAGGGAAUUCCCGGUGGAGCGGUGAAAUGCGUAGAUAUCGGGAGGAACACCAAAGGCGAAGGCACUCUGCUGGGCCAAUACUAACACUGAGAGACGAAAGCGAGGGGAGCAAAUGGGAUUAGAAACCCCAGUAGUCC